ensembl:processed_transcript Gm11240 predicted gene 11240
AACAGCUGGACCAUCUCUCUGUUAAGCUUUGGGGACUUGCUGGAGGCACAAACACAGAUCAUAAUGGCCUCUUAUUCAAGUUCUCCUCUGCACCCCAGAUACUGACCCUGCCUGCCUGAACAUGGAGUGCAAACACACCCGCACCGACCAAAGGGGGAAAGUGAGUAGAGAUAAGAUUCUAAAUUGGCUAAAGUUAUUGGCCAUGUAUCCUCUCGUAAUUCCAGACACAUGAGGAAACUGGCACAGCAUUGCCACAAUGGAAUGCAAAAUCAAUUUCAGGAAGGAGAGAUUUAUUAUAGUUUACAAGUCCACAGGAUACAAGCUAUCCAGAUUACGGAAAACUCAAUUACCCUGCUGCCUUAGAAGAAUGGAGGUAUUAUGUUAGAAGAAAGACAUACAACUCAGACCCAAAUGGCAUGUGGUAACAGUGGACUCAGACUGACAGUUACAAGUGUAACUUCACUCCUACAACUGCAGCAGACCAGCAAACUAAAUGUGUUUGAAGGAGGACAUGGAUACAAGAAGAUGAUGGAGUGCACACUGAGAACAAUAUGGUUUUGAAUAAGGCUCAGAAUGCCCUGGGUAUUUCAAUUUAAGAUUUGUGGUUAAAUUUUUGCUGAUUGAUCUGAAACACAUUUUGGUUUUGUUGAUUUUUCUAGAUAUUGAUUGAGGGGUUGAUAUGUUCUUACAUUUAACUGUGCUAAUCUGUGAUCAUGAUGACCCAUUUGGUUCAUUAAAAUAUUAUAUAUGC